CCUACGGGGUGCAGCAGUGAGGAAUAUUGGUCAAUGGACGAGAGUCUGAACCAGCCAAGUAGCGUGAAGGAUGACUGCCCUAUGGGUUGUAAACUUCUUUUAUAUGGGAAUAAAACGUUCCACGUGUGGGAUUUUGUAUGUACCAUAUGAAUAAGGAUCGGCUAACUCCGUGCCAGCAGCCGCGGUAAUAAGGAGGAUCCGAGCGUUAUCCGGAUUUAUUGGGUUUAAAGGGAUCGUAGGUGGAUUGUUAAGUCAGUUGUGAAAGUUUGCGGCUCAACCGUAAAAUUGCAGUUGAAACUGGCAGUCUUGAGUACAGUAGAGGUGGGCGGAAUUCGUGGUGUAGCGGUGAAAUGCUUAGAUAUCACGAAGAACUCCGAUUGCGAAGGCAGUUCACUGGACUGCAACUGACACUGAGGCUCGAAAGUGUGGGUAUCAAACAGGAUUAGAUACCCUUGUAGUC
rnacentral:rRNA from 1 species